GAUGAACGUUGGCGGUGUGCCUAAUACAUGCAAGUCGAACGGAGACUGUAGCAAUACUGUCUUAGUGGCGAACGGGUGAGUAACGCGUUGGUGAUCUGCCUCGAAGUGUGGAAUAACCUCCCGAAAGGGAAGCUAAUACCGCAUAGUCUCUCAAGGUUUAGAAAAUUGAGAGUAAAGGAUUUAUUCGCUUCGAGAGGAGCCUGCGUCCCAUCAGCUAGUUGGUAGGGUAACGGCCUACCAAGGCAAUGACGGGUAGGGGACCUGAGAGGGUGGCCCCCCACAAUGGAACUGAAACACGGUCCAUACACCUACGGGUGGCAGCAGUAGGGAAUAUUGCACAAUGGAGGGAACUCUGAUGCAGCGACGCCGCGUGAGUGAAGAAGGUCUUCGGAUCGUAAAACUCUGUCCUUGGUGAAGAAAAGGACGGUAGCCAAGGGAGGAAGCCCCGGCUAACUACGUG
rnacentral:rRNA from 1 species